GAGCCUCAUCUCUGGACACUCAGCCACCAGAGCAGCCCAACAUGUCCCUGGUGUCUGCAACGAACACAGUCAAAAGACUAAGUGAGCAAGCAAGCUAAUGCAGGACUCGCAGUCUGACGCCACAUUCCCUUGAACAGUAACCAAAACCAGCAGGAAUUAUAUCUGCUAGGAAGCAACAGAGAAGUUGUGCCAGGAUCGGAACCACAGCAGAAAAGAAGAGUGGGCCGCCUGACAUCAGUGGUGAUGGGGAGUGGAAAACAGACCUGCAGUCCAAUCCUCGGCAAGUUUACUCAGAUGUAAGCCCUGCUGCUCUCAGGUAACAACAGAACCGACUUCAGCAUGGAAACCUGGAAAGUCACAGGAGAGAUGCAUACAUAUGUAAGAUGGGAUGAGAUUUCACGGAGCUGGAUCUUGGACUUGGGUGUGAAAGCCAAGUAAUAUUAAAGGUGAACACAGAGGAGAUAGACAUCGCUGCCACCUUUUCCAUAUUGUGUUCUGUGUACAUGGGUUGCGGUAUUUUAUCUAAAAUUGUUUUGGAAAUUUAGGAGUACCCAUAUUUUAUUUUAUAUCAUUUAGUCUUUGUUUUUUUUUAAUAAAUAUAUUUUAU